GUAAUUAAAUUGUAUUUGAUUUGAUAUAUUUAAAUUCAAUUGCUACAAUCAGAAGUACUAAGAGGCCGUUUCGUUAGAUGUAAUUAUAAAUACAGUAUAGUUAGAGAUACAUGCAGUUGAAAAAUACAGUAGUUACAACUAUAUGAAUCCUGUUUAGUUGGAUAUAAUAGAAAAUACUGCAAGUAUAAAUAAUUUGUUUGGUUAUAUGAAGUUGAGAAAUAAUUUUUAAUAAAACUUUAUCAUUUUAUAUAUAUGAUGAUGAGAUUACCUCCAAAAUAAAAAAAAUAAUUUUUGUAUAAAAAAUAUUGAAGAGGUAAUUAAGUAUAGCUUUUAUUUAAAGUUACUCUCUCCAACCGCUACAACUGGAACUGCGGCCAAUUUGGGCGUAGUUCAAACUACUGCAGUUGGGCCUCCUCCUACGAUUCCUACUGUAGCAGUUCGAGUUAAAUACAUCAAACCAAACACCGAAUUUAUAUUUACAUGUAGUUACAACUGCAUUGCAGUUGCGACUACAUAUGCAACCAAACGGCUCCUAAAAGAAGCUGCGCUGCAACAGCCGGAGAUUGCAACUUUAACUAUAUGAAAGUUUAUUUACCUAUUACAUUUUAAAUAGAAAUCUACUCCUUUUUCUACAGUAUGGAUAAUCUUACCAUCCCAUUUAUAAAGUAAUAACCGUUUUCAACUAAAUUAAUAAAACAAAUUAUUUAUAGUUGGUGCACUUGUACCAUAUCCAAUCAAACAAGAUAUAUAUAAUUAUAACCGUUGUAUUUUAACUGUAUGCACUUCUAUCUAUAUUAUAUUUACAAUCAUAUUUAACCAAACACCCCUAAAAUAGCAUCCUGCAUUAAGGGCGUAUUUGUUCCACCGAAAGUGGAUAAGAAUGAAGUGAUUUUGGUUGUAAAUGCCCAAUUUUGUUGCUUGUUUCACCGUAAUAUAAAUUCAGUUGGAACUCAAAACCUCCAAAUUACCAUAAUUGAGUUCAAACCACCCUGCGCCGAAGCUAAUUACCAGAAAAAAUAAGGAGGAAAUAAAUUAAUCAAGUAUUUAAUUGGGAAAUUUCUUUUCGCUGAUAAUUACUUAUAUAUCCCUCGAAACUUUAAAAAUAUCUAAUUUAUCCCUUUUUUUUUUGUUUUCAAUAUACACCUCAUUUGUUCCUCCGUUAUUCAAAAAUAUCCAUGCAAUUACCAUCUGUUAAGUUAUCUCGGGUUAAACAUGAAUUAAAUGUCUACCAGAGUUUAAAAAAAAAUCAAACUACCUAUUUUGUCCUUAACUUAAGGUCAAAUAAGAAAAGUUGAUGAUAUUGAUAGAAGGGUAUAUUUAAAAAGACCAAAAAUCAAAAUACACCAUAAAGAAAAGUUGGUGAUGGGCGUAUUAGAAAGGACAAAAUAGUAGUUUUACAGAGAUAACAACCAUUAAUUGCUAAUAGUUCACUAACAUAAUUUAAUCCUAGGGGUAUAUUUGAAAUAAUUUGGAACGUAAACAGAGUAUUUUUAAUGUAUAUUAGCCUUCUAAUAGAGAUAAAUCCGAAAGUCGAGAACUUUUCAGAGGUAUAUAAGCAAUUUGCCUCUAAUAUUAAUAUAUGGGGAUUCAAAUAAAUUUUUGUAAAGCAAACACAGGAAGUAGGAAAUUUCAACUUUUAUCCCAUUGAUUUUCUGCCAAAUAAACAGCAGAGGAGAAAAAAUUUUCACUUAAACUCUAGUCCAAUUAA
rnacentral:lncRNA from 1 species